AUAAUGAAUGCUUUGUUCCUCCA
rnacentral:siRNA from 1 species